GUGGGGAAUAUUGGGCAAUGGGCGCAAGCCUGACCCAGCAACGCCGCGUGAGGGAAGAAGGUUUUCGGAUUGUAAACCUCUGUCGCAAGGGACGAAGAAGUGACGGUACCUUGUGAGGAAGCCCCGGCUAACUACGUGCCAGCAGCCGCGGUAAUACGUAGGGGGCGAGCGUUGUCCGGAAUUACUGGGCGUAAAGGGUGCGUAGGCGGUUGCUUAAGUUGGAUGUGAAAUACCCGGGCUUAACUUGGGGGGUGCAUUCAAAACUGGGCAACUAGAGUUCAGGAGAGGGAAGCGGAAUUCCUAGUGUAGCGGUGAAAUGCGUAGAUAUUAGGAGGAACACCAGUGGCGAAGGCGGCUUUCUGGACUGACACUGACGCUGAGGCACGAAAGCGUGGGGAGCAAACAGGAUUAGAUACCCCAGUAGUCC
rnacentral:rRNA from 1 species